UGUAGGGCUUAGUCACGCUGAGUUGCCAGUGUGACUGCUUUGCUUGGAAAGAAAAACGAAAGCCUUUGCUAUAACCGUGGCUGCAGCCCAUCGUGGCCUAAGUGCAGAGGCGGUUCUCGCAAGGCCAGUCAAUAAAGGACAGUGGUGAAACGUGACGAACUGACCUCACUUCGACGAUAUUGAGAUAAGCAAACACUGCUAGGUGGCUCAGCGUCUCUUGACGAUGCAUCUGAAAUGGGUUGUUGAUGGAAUUGAGCAACGAAGCGAAGGCAUUCAACUGCCGGCCUGUAACUAGUGUGCCGCAGUCGACCGACCCAUUCUGCUGUCUACAGCUCUUUGGCAUUGCGGCAAGCCACAAGUGGAUUGGCGGUAUUAUUGGUACUGUAUGAGCAGCACUGCCUUUCGUGCUCACAGCUGACUUCUGGCCUGUUAUUUACUACCCACUGGCGAAUGGAGGUAAGCUCACAUGAACUGACAAGAGUUUCGGAUAUAUGGCCUUCGUGAGUCGGUCAUAGCUUAUUUGACCACAAAGUUCAACCAAGUAGGAGACACUCGUGGCACCCGGAAGGCACUGGAAAGUCAUACAGAGCCACUUUGCGACCCAACGAAACACGAAGAGACUUGCUCACGGAAUAGGGUGCUUUUUCAGUAUGGGAAGAUUAAGCAUCGUCUUUUUGCGAUGGCCGCGGAAUCGGCCUCAGCUCAUGUUGUUCACGACUAUGGCACGACGCACGUGUUUCCCCGGGACUCU